UCCACUGCAGACUCAAUGGAUUGAUUGGU
rnacentral:piRNA from 1 species